rnacentral:rRNA from 1 species
GACGAACGCUGGCGGCGUGCUUAACACAUGCAAGUCGAACGGUAAGGCUCCAGCUUGCUGGGGUACACGAGUGGCGAACGGGUGAGUAACACGUGGGUGACCUGCCCUGCACUUCGGGAUAAGCCUGGGAAACUGGGUCUAAUACCGGAUAGGACCAUGGUGUGGAUACUGUGGUGGAAAGUUUUUUCGGUGUGGGAUGGGCCCGCGGCCUAUCAGCUUGUUGGUGGGGUAAUGGCCUACCAAGGCGGCGACGGGUAGCCGGCCUGAGAGGGUGGACGGCCACAUCGGGACUGAGACACGGCCCAGACUCCUACGGGAGGCAGCAGUGGGGAAUAUUGCACAAUGGGCGGAAGCCUGAUGCAGCGACGCCGCGUGGGGGAUGACGGCCUUCGGGUUGUAAACUCCUUUCACCAUCGACGAAGGGUUUCUGACGGUAGAUGGAGAAGAAGCACCGGCUAACUACGUG